rnacentral:rRNA from 1 species
AUACGGAGGAUCCGAGCGUUAUCCGGAUUUAUUGGGUUUAAAGGGAGCGUAGGUGGAUUGUUAAGUCAGUUGUGAAAGUUUGCGGCUCAACCGUAAAAUUGCAGUUGAAACUGGCAGUCUUGAGUACAGUAGAGGUGGGCGGAAUUCGUGGUGUAGGGGUGAAAUGCUUAGAUAUCACGAAGAACUCCGAUUGCGAAGGCAGCUCACUGGACUGCAACUGACACUGAGGCUCGAAAGUGUGGGUAUCAAACAGGAUUAGAUACCCUGGUAGUCCACACAGUAAACGAUGAAUACUCGCUGUUUGCGAUAUACAGCAAGCGGCCAAGCGAAAGCAUUAAGUAUUCCACCUGGGGAGUACGCCGGCAACGGUGAAACUCAAAUGAAUUGACGGGG